rnacentral:rRNA from 1 species
AACGAACGCUGGCGGCGUGCCUAACACAUGCAAGUCGAACGUGAUUGGAAGCUUGCUUCCAUGAAAGUGGCGCACGGGUGAGUAACGCGUAGAUAAUCUACCUGAUGAUCCGGGAUAACACUUCGAAAGGGGUGCUAAUACCAGAUAAGCCCACGGAGUCCUUGGGCUCUGCGGGAAAAGGGGGGGAUCGCAAGACCUUCCGUCAUCAGAUGAGUCUGCGUACCAUUAGCUAGUUGGUAGGGUAAAGGCCUACCAAGGCGACGAUGGUUAGCUGGUCUGAGAGGAUGAUCAGCCACACUGGAACUGAGACACGGUCCAGACUCCUACGGGAGGCAGCAGUGGGGAAUUUUGCGCAAUGGGGGAAACCCUGACGCAGCAACGCCGCGUGAGUGAUGAAGGCCCUUGGGUCGUAAAGCUCUGACAGAGGGAAAGAAAUGCAGAGUGGCUAAUAUCCACCUUGCUUGACGGUACCCUCAAAGGAAGCACCGGCUAACUCCGUGCCAGCCGCCGCCGUAAUAC